GCAAAACAGCUACACGAGGCAUCCUCGAAUCGAAACAUCCUACGAGGCGUGUGCCACUACAGCAAUAUUCGAUAGAUCGAUCGAUUCAUGGAAAAUUAUUUCGCAUCUAAUGGCAGCCAGACACGAAUCUGAUCCAACCUAUAAAGUCGUUCGUUUCUUCUUUGUUAUAUAUGCAAUAAAAAAAAUUCGUUGUCCGAUCGAGAUGGAGAGUUACGCCUACAGGAAAAACUUACUGAGAUUUCGUUAUGACGUUCUUGACAUUGAUACGAGCCAUACUUAGAGCUAAGUAAUUUUUUAAACCCGUAAAUGUUGUUGCCGCGAGAAAUUAAUCGUUUACUUAUCUUUACCGUCAGGCAGGAAAUCUAUCAUUAAGUUUACCAGUUUGUACGAAUGCCAUUAUAUUAGCUGAUCGGUUGGAUCAACAUUUUAUCGUUAAUUGCUAUAAUGUUGGCUAUAACAUGAACUUUGUUAUAGUAUCGUUACAACUAUGUAACUUCUUUACAAUACAUACAUCUAAUAUACACGUGACAGUAUCGAUACAUAAUGUCAGAAUACGAGACGCGUUCGAGUUGCAUUUUUUUAUAUAUUUUCAACGCUUCUGCGCAUUCGCACUCCUAAGAUAACCGUUGAUUUAUUGUGCUUGCAAAAUCAAGAUAUUACUCUAUUUCGAUCAAGUUGAGCGAAUAGACAUCGACCAAACUUUAGAUACUCUACUGUCGCUCUUUUGUGCGAUUUAUCAAUUACAGUGUCGUUAUUAUUGCAUUUAUUAUAACAUUUACGUACUAUUAGUAUCGCCCAUUUUCCUGUGAAAAAUUGAUUUUACGAAAAGAAUGUAAAACUUGAUAAAAAAAAUAUUUUUUGUAGAUAAGAAGCGAGCAAGGAUUUACUCGGUGCAUGAAAAUUAUUUCUCCUGCAGGAUGCAUAAUAUAUCACGAAUAAUUUAUUGUCGUAAAGAUACAAUAAUCUUUCCGAACCGGUUCUAUGUUUUAAUUUAUCCAAGGUCUCUGGAUUCGAAAACAAAUUAAAUUCCACAAUUUUCAUUUUAUCGAGCAAGAUCUUUCGAGCUAAGAUUAAACCGUAAUAUUAGCAAACAAAUGUGCAUUUUAUUUAAGUUUGACGUUUUUCCAUCAUGGUUGUAGACGUAUUAGCGAUGAUUAUGUAUAUAAAUAUCCAUAAAGAUCAAUAGGUAUUCUUUUCUUAAAAUAAAAUGCUGAAAAUUUUCAGAAUUGUAUAUAUUAAGAAAUAAAUAUUUUAUUUAAAUGAAUGUAAAUGUUAUAGGCGAUAAUCGCAUCGUAAAUAGAACCAUUUGUUUCCAUAUUAAUACCGCGUUAAUAUGAAUUGUAUAUUCCUUUAACGAAUUAUUCACAAUAACGUGCAAUGCAAAAAUUACCGUGACCGAUUUCAUUUGGACAUUGCGUGAAAUUUUCUGCCGCUAGAUCGUCUUCUAAUAUUAUUAAUUCUUCUUGUACAAAUCUUAAAUUCAAAAUUAACAAAAUCUUUAACUUAUUAUACCGCUGUGGAACGAAAUAUUUAUAAAUCUCUGUAAUAAGCGUUCAAGCGUGUUAAUUCAAAAUAUAUCAGGAAACUUGUAUUUGUUCAUGCGCUCGCCAAUGGUUGAAAUUAAUUAAAGAUUUCUCCAACAACUUAUUACGAGAGAUAAUAUUUUUCCUUUGCGAAAUAGCCAUAACUUAGAAUCGAUCGCGUUUAUCUUUAUUAAGUAAAAAGAUAAUCAACAAAUCAAGUUACAUAGAGAUUCUAAAUAUACAACACAUUCCGAUCGACAUACGACAAGGACAAUUAAAUAAAUUAUCAACUCAUCUGUGCGUCAUUCAGGAUCAAUAUCUAAAUCACUUUCACGAUAAAGUUGGAAUGUACUCCUGUAUUCUUUUUUAUUAGCGAAACCAGUUCCGUGGAUGUUUGUUUCUUCGCUCCACGACCCUGAACUCGACCACGAUUGCAACGAACUUGCCCAGACCUAACGUUAAGGAUCGCACAAGUAUAAAUACUUCAAAUAUGUAUGAGGUCGUAGGUGAAUACAUCAGAUCCUCCUUCUACGGCACUACCGUCCGUUUAUGUGACACCGUAUCGUCGUCAGUACGAACAGCAUUAGACAGAGACAUUGAUAUUGCGCGCAAAUGUACGGCAUUAGAAAGAGGCAGCAAUAUUUUGGGAAAAGCAUGGAAUAUGAUAAAUGGCAUUAGAAAGUGGUGGCGAUUUUGCGCGAAUGGGACGGACGUCCGACUAUUAUAUUUGCUUUUCUUCCUCUAUGUUGGCGCGAAUGUCAAGGAUGUCAAGGAUUUCAAGGACCGAUGGAAGACGCUGCUAAGGAUAAAUGAGAAGGGUUCGGAUUAGAAAACUGAUGUAUUCUACAUUACGUUAUUGGACAUAAAUAUUUCUUAUUCUCGCUAUUAUAAUUGAUAUACGUUUGCCUAUUUAUUAUAUUAUAUGUAAGGAGCUGCAGUCUCAUUCGCUACGCACUAACUAAUUUUAAUAUCGUACAAUAAUAAACACAGUAAACGAACUGCU